rnacentral:misc_RNA from 1 species
ACUAGGCUACCUGCUGGUCGACCAAGAAGUUCAGCAUGCAGCGCCGCUAAUGUUUGCGGAGGAAUCUGACCCGAGGCAGCCAAAGCUUGAAUGUCAAAUCUUCCAAGUGAAUUAAGUUUUACAUUUGAGUCCAUGGGGCCACAGAAUGCAUUGGAAAUCCCACCUUGUUGAGCAACCCCACUUAAUCUCUUCAGAUACAGUCUAAACUUCUGCAAAUGACUUGCAACAUUUUCUCUGGUUAAACCAGGUACAUUCAUCAAUUCUAGAAUUCUCUUAGGUACAGCCU